UUAUCACACAGUAUUUGCUACUCUUAUAAUAAUACAUUUGUUUGUGCACAUGCAGAUAUACCUAUAUCCAGACAGAGGACAUGUGUUUGGACUGUUCCUGAGGACACAGUGCCACCUUGUGUUGAGCUCCUCCAAAAAUCAAGCCUGGCAUUUCCCUGCUCUUGUAAGCACUUCACUGCCUGAUAGGAGUGAUGGAUGGAUAGUGAGUGCUUCACUCUUCACCCUCUUGACUCUCAUUACCAGCUGGUAAGUACGCACUUGUUAAACUAGCUGAUGGAGGUCGCUCACAACUAUAG
ensembl:lncRNA